UAGAAAUAAAUUAUUUAAGUAACGAAUAUUUAUUUUUAUACGUUUUAAAUAUUUCAACGAUUUAUGAAAUUAAAAUAAGUUUAGAAUUUUAUGUUGAAAAGAAAUUGAAUUACGAAAACCGUUUGAAUUUUGAAAACAAUCCUAAUUGGUUUUGGAUUCAAACACUUAAACUCAACCUUAGUUCUAGCCCAAGUUGAUAAAGCCCAAAUAAUAAGACCCAAAACACUUUACUCCUUUCCUCUCUUUCAAUGUUACGUAAAAGCAAAAACAACAAAAACUUCUCUGCUUCACUUUCACGUGAACCAUAACCCUUAACCUCUUCCCCCUUUGCUCAGCCGCCAGCCGGCAGCCACGCUGGACCACCGUCACUACACCGACCUCCUGCCACCAGCCCCUCCGCCGUCGCGCACGCAACCACCACCUGUACCACCACCUGCUCCCGCCGACUUCCCAUCGCCACAACCCAGCCGUCGACCAACCUCCUCCCUUCUCCUUUACAUACACAAGAAAUCCCCCCUCCUAUUUUCUUUGUUGCUCCGCACGCAGCUACCAGUCGCGCUGCACCACCGUCGCGCCACCAAGAGUGUUGAACCACCGACGUACCCACCGUCUGCUGCCGCCACUGUCGCCGGCCAGCAGCUUCCUUCUUCCUCACUUUAGGUGGAGAAUUCUCUUUAGGCAACUUUUGAAAGUGUUAAGGUGACGUAUCAGUUUGUUUACACAAG